rnacentral:rRNA from 1 species
CUCCUUUGACGUUAGCGGCGGACGGGUGAGUAACACGUGGGUAACCUACCUAUAAGACUGGGAUAACUUCGGGAAACCGGAGCUAAUACCGGAUAAUAUUUCGAACCGCAUGGUUCGAUAGUGAAAGGUGGUUUUGCUAUCACUUAUAGAUGGACCCGCGCCGUAUUAGCUAGUUGGUAAGGUAACGGCUUACCAAGGCGACGAUACGUAGCCGACCUGAGAGGGUGAUCGGCCACACUGGAACUGAGACACGGUCCAGACUCCUACGGGAGGCAGAGCC